rnacentral:pre_miRNA from 1 species
AGGAGGAACAGCCCCAGUGGCGGGGCAGCUCUGGAGCCCUGGAGUCAGCCCCCGCAGUAACCGAGGCCCCCUCUGUCUGCAGGGCCUGGAGGCUCCGGGGCGGG